AUUGAACGCUGGCGGCAGGCUUAACACAUGCAAGUCGAGCGGGGGAAGGUAGCUUGCUACCGGACCUAGCGGCGGACGGGUGAGUAAUGCUUAGGAAUCUGCCUAUUAGUGGGGGACAACAUCUCGAAAGGGAUGCUAAUACCGCAUACGUCCUACGGGAGAAAGCAGGGGAUCUUCGGACCUUGCGCUAAUAGAUGAGCCUAAGUCGGAUUAGCUAGUUGGUGGGGUAAGGCCGACCAAGGCGACGAUCUGUAGCGGGUCUGAGAGGAUGAUCCGCCACACUGGGACUGAGACACGGCCCAGACUCCUACGGGAGGCAGCAGUGGGGAAUAUUGGACAAUGGGGGGAACCCUGAUCCAGCCAUGCCGCGUGUGUGAAGAAGGCCUUAUGGUUGUAAAGCACUUUAAGCGAGGAGGAGGCUACUUUAGUUAAUACCUAGAGAUAGUGGACGUUACUCGCAGAAUAAGCACCGGCUAACUCUGUGCCAGCCGCCGCAGUAACAC
rnacentral:rRNA from 1 species